UACCAGACUCCUACGGGAGGCAGCAGUGGGGAAUAUUGCACAAUGGGGGGAACCCUGAUGCAGCGACGCCGCGUGGGUGAAGGAGUAUUUCGGUAUGUAAAGCCCUAUCAGCAGGGAAGAACAAUGGCGGUACCUGACUAAGAAGCACCGGCUAAAUACGUGCCAGCAGCCGCGGGAAUACGUAUGGUGCAAGCGUUAUCCGGAUUUACUGGGUGUAAAGGGAGCGCAGGCGGCGCGUUAAGCCUGGUGUGAAAGCCCGCGGCCCAACCGCGGGACUGCAUUGGGAACUGGCGCGCUGGAGUGCCGGAGGGGUAGGCGGAAUUCCUGGUGUAGCGGUGAAAUGCGUAGAUAUCAGGAGGAACACCGGUGGCGAAGGCGGCCUGCUGGACUGCAACUGACGUUGAGGCCCGAAAGCGUGGGGAGCAAACAGGAUUAGAUACCCUGGUAGC
rnacentral:rRNA from 1 species